UCACCUUUCUCCCGGCGCCAUUUUUGUUGUUUACCUCGCUGUUCAAGAGACGUUUCCUGUAAGUGACGGUGAACGCUUCCACGAAUUCCUUCUCGCCAUUGCUGAUAUAUAUCAACCUCAGUAUUAAGGCUAAGGAUGAGGAUGAUUACAUGGUAAAAGAAAAGAAAAGAAAAAAAAGAUUAAUGAUGGCUGGCCCUCAGAAAAGUUCUAUACUGGGGAAUAUAUAUUCUGUAUACUGUAUAUGAAUCGCAAAUUCAUAAUUCUGACCACAUCGUUGCGGGAUAUGUUCGAUAAGAGUUAAUUGAUUUCAA